UACGUAGGCAGCAAGCGUUGUUCGGAAUGACUGGGCGUAAAGGGCGCGUAGGCGGAUGGUACAGUCAGAUGUGAAAUUCCCGGGCUCAACCUGGGGGCUGCAUUUGAUACGUAUGAUCUUGAGUGGGGAAGAGGGUCGUGGAAUUCCCAGUGUAGAGGUGAAAUUCGUAGAUAUUGGGAAGAACACCGGUGGCGAAGGCGGCGACCUGGUCCUUAUACUGACGCUGAGGCGCGAAAGCGUGGGGAGCAAACAGG
rnacentral:rRNA from 1 species